rnacentral:ncRNA from 2 species
CCAACUCACGGAGAUGAUGUUCCUCCAUGCUAAUUUUUUGAUUAGCAAAACCGCUUAAACGCUGAUGACGUCUGUUAAUAC